rnacentral:sRNA from 1 species
UGGAAAAUAUGUACCGUAGACAGUAGGAGCGAAGAGCUUAAUUUCCUACCGAGGAACUUAUUAUUUUAAGUCUUUCGGCCCUUACUGUAUGUAGUAGGGGCUUUUUA